rnacentral:tRNA from 1 species
GGUCGAUUAGCUCAGUUGGUAGAGCAAGGGAUUGAAAAUCCCUGUGUCCUUGGUUCGAGUCCGAGAUCGACCACCA